UUCACUCACUGCUCUGUUCUGUUCUGUUCUGCGACCUACAUUGCAAGGUGUAUUCACUAAGUCAAAAUGUGAGUGAAGACAUUGCUGUAGUUGAGCUUAUAGCUAUGCUUGCUGACCGCAAGGGUGCUGCCUUGACAGCUGUUGUAGGUAAGGUUGGAGUCAGAAUGGUGUGAGAGAGAGCAACUUAUGCCAAUGACGUUACUGCAGUGCAGGCAUUGUGGCUGACAAUGGAUUCUGGUUGGAGAAGGUUGUCACUUGUAAAGAAGAAAUGAUACAAUCAAAAUGUUCAUUGACCAGGCAGAUAAGGGACAUGAAGUGGGGUUAAUUUGCCAUGACAGAGGCACAUAUCAUGCGAAGACUGGACGGACAUUCCUCACCCAGCAAGAGCCUACGCUGAAACUUAUUUGAAUGAACUUGACCCUCCUUGGCAGCAGGCCAAUAUGCAACGUCACUGAAUGACUUAACAGAACACAGUGUUCUUGGCACAAGCACAAGAAUGUGUUGAAAGCCAUGCUGGAGAGAAGUAUAACAUUUCACAUUAAUAAAAAUAAAGGGUAAUAAAGAGAUAGUAAACACAAUGCCAGAAGUAGUUAUCUGGAUAUAAGUGUUUGUUUGUUUUUAAACGGCUCUUUGUGCAAAGAAAAUGUACAGACUUUGUUCCCUGAACUGAGCCCCAUCUGACCCCACACUCAAUCCCACCUCAAAUAAAAGCCCACACCCAUUCCCUGUGCUGCUUUCCCUCAGUGGUCUACCUGGAAAAUUCCAAUUCACCUUUUAGCUUAGGAAAGGGGAGUGACAGCCUGUUAAACUAACAUCAAUCCAUGACUCACUUCCUUUCAAAACCUUAAUGUAGAUACUAUACUGCAAGUGUUAGUGUUUCACGCAAUUCUUCUGUACACGAUAAUCUCCUAUGAAGUUAUGUCAUUCAUAAAUGGAUUAUGUUAACUCUGUCACAAGAUUAAAAGCAAGCAAGAGGGACAGCCACAAAGUAAAUUUAAUUUACCAUGAACUCAAUGUACUUCCUUCAUGUAAAUAAGCCAGUGCCAUCGUCUCCAUUUCCUCGCUUGGGAUUUCCCCACAUUUUCUUCCCAGUGCCCUGUGCCAAGUUCUCCUUUCCCCUCCUCUAUACACUCCACUCAAUUUCUCUCUCCUAUGACCUAUUUCACCCUUCCCUGCUUCUUUACAAAUGAGGGGUCAGACUUAUUUUCCACUACACGAAAAUACCUGAACACUACUAAAGAAUUAAA